rnacentral:rRNA from 1 species
AUUGAACGCUGGCGGCAUGCCUUACACAUGCAAGUCGAACGGUAACAGGUCUUCGGAUGCUGACGAGUGGCGAACGGGUGAGUAAUACAUCGGAACGUGCCCGAUCGUGGGGGAUAACGAGGCGAAAGCUUUGCUAAUACCGCAUACGAUCUACGGAUGAAAGCGGGGGAUCUUCGGACCUCGCGCGGACGGAGCGGCCGAUGGCAGAUUAGGUAGUUGGUGGGAUAAAAGCUUACCAAGCCGACGAUCUGUAGCUGGUCUGAGAGGAUGAUCAGCCACACUGGGACUGAGACACGGCCCAGACUCCUACGGGAGGCAGCAGUGGGGAAUUUUGGACAAUGGGCGAAAGCCUGAUCCAGCCAUGCCGCGUGCAGGAUGAAGGCCUUUGGGUUGUAAACUGCUUUUGUACGGAACGAAAAGCCUCUUUCUAAUAAAGAGGGGUCAUGACGGUACCGUAAGAAUAAGCACCGGCUAAC